rnacentral:rRNA from 1 species
CAGUCGCCGCGGGAAUACGAAGGGGGCUAGCGUUGUUCGGAAUUACUGGGCGUAAAGCGCACGUAGGCGGAUACUUAAGUUAGGGGUGAAAUCCCAGGGCUCAACCCUGGAACUGCCUUUAAUACUGGGUAUCUUGAGUUCGAGAGAGGUAAGUGGAAUUCCGAGUGUAGAGGUGAAAUUCGUAGAUAUUCGGAGGAACACCAGUGGCGAAGGCGGCUUACUGGCUCGAUACUGACGCUGAGGUGCGAAAGCGUGGGGAGCAAACAGGAUUAGAUACCCCGGUAGUCCCUGUCUCUUAUAC